rnacentral:rRNA from 1 species
UACGUAGGGUGCGAGCGUUAAUCGGAAUUACUGGGCGUAAAGCGAGCGCAGACGGUUAUUUAAGUCAGAUGUGAAAUCCCCGAGCUCAACUUGGGAACUGCGUUUGAAACUGUCUAACUUGAGUGUGUCAGAGGUGGGUAGAACUCCACGUGUAGCAGUGAAAUGCGUAGAGAUGUGGAGGAAUACCGAUGGCGAAGGCAGCCGCCUGGGAUAACACUGACGUUCAUGCACGAAAGCGUGGGGAGCAAACAGG